rnacentral:lncRNA from 1 species
GGAGGCAGAGUGAAACUAACAACUUUUUUGCUCACGGAGAACUGGAGAACUGCAUGGGACGGGAAACUGCAUCGGAAGUUGGAAGCAGCAAGGAAAACGCUGGACACUGCUUCCAGAGCGGCCUUCCCACAGUCGGCAGUUGCCUGAUGUAAUCCUGAAGUUGGAGGGUGUGAUCUGUGACAAAUGGACCUGAGUCAAGGACAAGAUUUCCUUCAUGAAUAGACUUUAUCCAGUUAGUCACAGAGGAAGUAAAUAUGAAGGGGUCAUAUCAGAGUUUAUCUUCAGUGCAUCCAAGGGCAGACUUCCUGUGACCACCUCACCCCAACCAGGUUCGUUGUGAAGGCUCAAACACCAGUAUAUGGCUCUACUGGGAGGUGGUGGAGACUUCGAGAGGUAGGAAGAAGUGAGUCAUUGGAGAGAUGCCAUUGGUGGGUACACUGGAGCCCUGACCCUUCCUCUUGCUGUCUGUUUCCUGGUUUCCAUGAGGUGAGCACCCAUCCCCGUGUACUUCCCUCCAUGAUGUUCUGUCUCACCACAGGCCUAAAAGCAGCCAGGUCAAGUGACCAUGGACUGAAACUUCUGAAACCAUGA